rnacentral:pre_miRNA from 1 species
AACCCGUAGAUCCGAUCUUGUGGUGAAGUGGACGGCGCAAGCUCGCUUCUAUGGGUCUG